GACGAACGCUGGCGGCGUGCUUAACACAUGCAAGUCGAACGGACAGACGAUGCUCUUGCGGGGUGCACGAGAGGCGAACAGGUGAGAAAAACGUGAGUAAACUGCCCUUGAAUUUCGGAUAAAACUAGGAAACUGGGGCUAAUAUCGGAUAGGAGCUCCUGCACCACGGUGGGGAAUGGAAAGAUUCGGCGGUUGGGGAUGGAAUAGCGGCUUAUGAGCUUGUUGGUGGGGUAGUGGCUUACCAAGGCUUUGACGGGUAGCCGGCCUGAGAGGGUGACCGGCCACAUUGGGCCUAAGGUACGGCCCAGACUCCUACGUUAGGCAGCGGUGGGGAAUAUUGCGCAAUGGGCGGAAGCCUGAUGCAGCAGCGUCGCGUGCGGGAUAACGGCCUUCGGGUUGUAAACCGCUUUCGCCUGUGACGAGGCGUGAGUGGCGGUAAUUGGUAAGAAAGCAACGGCUAACUACGUG
rnacentral:rRNA from 1 species